UUUUUAAUUUUUAAACGGACAGAUGAUAUCCUCUGCGAUACAUAUAUGCAAUUUUGAAUCAGUUGAACUUUUCGACAAUUUACGAACUCAACCACUCGUAGAACAACCGCUGUAAACAAAAACAACUUUAUUUGCAAAGACACGUGUGCAAUGAUUAUUAUAUUUACUUUUAAUAAAUAUUCCGUUUGCUCACAUUUUAAAGAUUCUUGAACGUUAAACUCAUUCUGUAUUAUUCAUAUUUUUCUGUAUAUUCUGGAAUAGUAUAUAUAAUGGCUGAUUGUUCUGAAGAAACCAAUAAAUCUUUGCAAGCUGAUGAAGUUCAAGCUCUCUCAGCUAUAUAUGAAUUAGAUUGGGUGACAGAAAAUCUUGUUCAAAAUGCUUACAGCAUAAAAAUAUCAGAUGGUGCAAAUAACAUAGUUUACUUUAAAGUCACUCUUCCUGAAUCAUAUCCACUAGACUCUCCACCAAUUUAUGAAUUAAGUGCACCGUGGAUGAAUAGAAUUGUUAAACAAAAUUUGUGUUCUGCUUUAGAAGAUGUUUACUGCCAAAAUAUUGGUAGAAGCAUAAUCUACUUGUGGAUUGAAGCUAUUCGAAAUUUUAUAAAUACUGACACAGUUGUUGAUGAGGAUUCUAUCAAACUAGACGAUUUGAAUCAGUCUCUAGUGUAUGAUGUAGAGUCUUUUUCAAGUGAUGUCAAAGAAAGUGCAAUCACAUUCUUUGAAGCACCAUCUAUUGAACAUGGCCAGCCCAUAAUUGACCGAAAAAGUGUCUUCCAAGCUCACAUUUCACGUGUUGUUUCUGUGGAACAAGUAAAUCAUGCUUUACAGAAAUUGAAAGAAAAUAGAAAAAUAGCAACAGCCACUCAUAAUAUAUAUGCUUAUCGGAUAUCUUGUGGUGAUGGGAAAACCUUUAUACAAGAUUGUGAGGAUGAUGGAGAGACAAAAGCUGGUUCUGGUCUACUCCAUUUGCUUCAGAUGGUAUGGAGGUGUUCAUCUUGGACCAGAUCGUUUCAAGCACAUCAAUAAUGCUGCAAGAACCCUCUUGUCCGAAACAGGGUUAAUAUCAGAGAAAUCACAGAAUACGCCCAAGAAGACUCAGAAAAGAUGACAGUGUCUGGAAGCAUUUAUUGCCUUACUUUUAAGUUUUAAAAUGCACAAGUCACAGGCAUACAAAAAACGCACUUAAAUUUGAGGAUCUGGAAAAUGCAUCAUCCCCUCCAGAAA
rnacentral:misc_RNA from 1 species